GGAGCCGGGCGGGGCGAAACGGCUUGGCGGUUGUGGCGAGGGCGGGCCUUGUGGACACCAUGCCGUCGGCCUUUUCAGUCAGCUCCUUCCCCGUCAGCAUCCCCGCGGUGAUCACGCAGACAGACUGGAGUGAGCCCUGGCUGGUGGGGCUGGCUGUCUUCCACGUGCUGUGCCUGCUUCUCACUUGCUUCUCAUCCCAGAGGUACCGACUACAGAUUGGCCAUUUCCUGUGUCUCGUGGUCCUGGUCUAUUGUGCUGAGUACAUCAAUGAAGUGGCCGCAAUGAACUGGAGGUUGUUUUCAAAAUACCAGUAUUUUGACUCCAGGGGGAUGUUCAUUUCUGUCGUGUUCUCAGCACCACUGCUGCUCAACGCCAUGAUCAUUGUGAUUUUGUGGGUACGCAAGACUUUGAACGUGAUGACUGACCUGAAGAACUUGCAACAGAAAAGAAAAGAGAAGCAGCGGAGGAAGGAGGAGUGAGGUCGUGCCCGUUGGCUUCCUCUGCCAGGGGGUUCUGUGCAGUGGGGCCCAGGCGUCCUCAGCUGGCUUGGGGAAAGCCGUGCUCCCCUCUGGAGGCCCCGUGCUGGAGCACACACUAAAGUUGUUUCUCAAACUAGCACGGAUUGUACCCCUGCGUGUUUGUUGAGCCUGGGUCCACCCUUAGCAUGCCUGGUCUCUGGCUGAGCCCCAGGAGGGCCCUGUGUAUCUCUCCAGGACUCCAUAGUCAGUUACAAAGUGUCUGCUCGGUGUGGAAUCUGAACCCCAGUGGUAGUGCUGUCCUGCACACAGGCCCAUCACCUGGCUGUCCCCCUGUGUCUUGUGCUCCACGGGAUGGCUCUUAACUGAGGGCACUUUUGCCCCCAAAGGACUUGUGACAGUUUGGUAACACUUUUGCUUGUCACUGUAGGUGGAAGUGGGUGGAGCCUAAAUGCUGCUGAACUCCUGCAAGGAUAGACUGUGGCCCCCCAGAGGACUGUACAGAGUGCUGGCCCCCGUCUUCUCAGCCUGAGGCCUUUGAAGCAGGUCUGGCAAAGAUGGAACAUAUCUAAUGUACUGACCAGUCCCCUGAGCCCAGGGCCCUCUGAAACCACCAGCUGGGCACAUCUCGGUGUAACGGCUGGAUCCCAUGAGGUUAGGCUUUCUGAAACCAACAAGGGGCUACCUCACUGAAAAUACUUUUGCUCAAGACUCUAAUGUGAAGGGAAGCGUGAAGUCGGGACUACAUGGAAAAGAAUGUGUUAAAUGAGCCCUUUACUUUGUUCUGAGUGCAGAAUUGCAGAUAGAGGAACAUUCACUGGAGGCCUAGUGGGCUCCACCCAACGUGGACGGUGCAGGCCCCCUGUGCCCUCCCUGAGUCUUAUCCUGCUUGAGCACCUUCAGGCUGCCUGUCUGGGGUAUGGUGCUGUGAAACACUUUUCGAUUUUCAGAAAGAAAAAAACUGUCCAAGUGAAAGCACUUACAUUUAGAAGGUCAAAAAUCGACGGUUUGUCAGAUUGAAGAAUCGUCUAGAAAUCCAGAUAUGUGAGUUUUCAGUUUUACAUGGUGUCACGCUCUUAGUGAAGAAGCUAGACUGAGUCCAACAGGAGGUAGCUGUGAGCAGACAGAAUCCUCAGCCAGGCCACUGGAGCUCUUUGCCUGUAGCUCUUCCCAGUCCCUCUGGAUCUGUUCAGCUUGUAGAGUGAACACCGAGGAGUCUGAGAACCCUGGUCUUAAGCAGGUCCAGUCUCAAGUCGACAUCACCUGUGGGGUUGUGUGGCACGUCUGACGGUGCACAUCCCAGGUGCACCACAGGGUGUUUACUGACACAUGGCUUCACUCGAGUUCCCACCCCACAAGGUGGUUUCUUAGAAAAUGAAGUGGGCUGCUAUAUUUGACUGCAGGAGCUCAGAGCAGGCGUGUGUGGCUCUCCAGGGCUGUUCCCUGCCAAGCUGUCCAAGGCCAGCCAUGGGAAGCAGGUCAGGAAAUUGCUGGAGAGGACAUGUGUGAGGAGGUGUCUGAGCUCAUGCCCAGCUGAAGUACACCAGCAAGGUGGUAGGCCCUGUCUGUAUGUUGGACCGUGUGGAUCUGGGCCUGUCCAGCUGAGUCCAGCCUCCCUGGAGAAAGGUCUGCCUCCUCUGAAGUGACUGCUCGGUCCUUUGAUCAUGAAGAUGUUUCACUGUGUGACAUCAUGUCUGGCAUGGCAGAUAACCAGACCAGGUGCCAGUCCAACUUCCUGCGGCAGCUGCUGAUACUGGAGACUCUGCGUUUCUCACUGGUUACUACUGGGCAGCAGGAACAUGUGCAGCCUGAGAGGCAUCCUUUACCUUUCCUACACAUGAUGGGAAUUGAAAAAUAGCUACUUGCUGGCAGUUGAUAAAUAUGGAAAUAUGGCUAAGUCACUUGUCAGGAAGCACGGUCCCACAUCAGCCCUGCACGAUUUCUGGACUUUGCCUGUGCUUCCGGGCAACUUGGAAAAGUGCUUUGCUGAGUGAGGGACAGUCUCACCUCACUGCUUUGCAUAUCCUCAGUUGCCAGCGAGGGUUAUUUAACAUUUUUUCAAAUUGUUAUUGGCCUUUUGCACUUUUGUGAAUAGGCUGUUCAUGUACUUUAUUCUUUGUAUUACAGUAUAGGCUUUUAAAGAUAUAUGUUUCUAAUUUUAUGUAUCAAAAUUCACAGUACAUGCAAAUAUAUUUCCAGCCUUGGGUGAAAAGUUUUGUUUUGGCCUUGGGUGAAAAGUUUCAGAACGAUGAACAGCAUGUGCUCUCCAGUCAGGGUUGACGCCUAUGGGGCCGAGCUGUGGCUCCUCCUCAGCCGUAAGGAACCCGCUGGCACUAGUGCUGGCAGCAGGGGAAGCAAGGACCCAGCCCUGUGCCACCAGCCAAUCCCUGCACUUGUAGCUGUGCUCAGGUCACAUGUGGCACAGGCUUGCAUUAGGGCCAGACACAUUGUCACCUCUUCACCCAGCUCCCGGCUCCUGAAGCACAGGGCAGGAGGGUUUGAGCAUCUGGACUGGCGCUUUCUCCUCCCAGGCAACUGACCAAGACUGUUAGCCCAUCCACAAAGCCAACCAGCAAGGCUCCUGCUCUCAAGUUCUCUGUAGGUCUCCUGAGAUCAUUAUCACAUCAGAUGGUGAAUUUUAGACAGUUUGUGUUCUGAUGAUGCAAAAGCUUCUCCAAGCACCUCUGGAAACACUGGGUGCACAGUACCAUGAGCAUCUGCAUCCUGAAACGGCUGGGUGUGUGCUGGUCUUGAUGAAAACCAAGUCACCAGGCUGGCAGUGAUGAAUUGUGAACUCCAGAAGAGGAGUCUGAGCAGCAGUUCAUAAUAAUUGUACCGGAAAAAAAGUAACACAGAUAGAUCUCAAGGUGACUCAGAACAGACUUGUGACUCUGACAGAGCUUUCUGCGAUAUUAUCACGCACUCCUGUAUAAAGCCCUUCCUUUAUAACCUCACAGUUUUACUUUUAGGAAGACUGACAAAAAUGUUCAUCUCUGAUAAAAGAACCAUUGUCUUAUCUUUGAA